CCCUUGAAAUAGUUGAAGCUGCCAGCAUGAUCUGAUGUUACCUUGUAUCUUUUGUUACGGUAAGAAUAGAUCAUGUGGCAGUUUCACCUGUUGAAUGG
rnacentral:pre_miRNA from 1 species